rnacentral:rRNA from 1 species
UACGAAGGGGGCUAGCGUUGCUCGGAAUGACUGGGCGUAAAGGGUGCGUAGGCGGCCCUGUAAGUCAGUGGUGAAAUACUGCAGCUUAACUGUAGCAUUGCCAUUGAUACUGUAGGGCUUGAGUACAGAUGAGGUAGGCGGAAUUGAUGGUGUAGCGGUGAAAUGCAUAGAUACCAUCAAGAACACCGAUUGCGAAGGCAGCUUACUAAGCUGUAACUGACGCUGAGGCACGAAAAGCGUGGGGAUCGAACAGG